UUUGUGUUCGAGUUUUCUCUCAUUUCUCUCUACCCUUGGCCGCCCAACCUAUUUGAUGACCUCUGAUUUUUUUUCACACAAUUUCUCCCAAACCUCUCAUUCUCUCAUCUCCUCCCUUCUAUAAACAUAACCCUAAACCUAUUGGAAGUUUGUGUAAGCUAAGAAACAUCAUACAAAGCAAGAACACCAAAGAUUAAAGGUUUGAGCAAAGGGUAGAAGUGCUAGAGGUCUAAAACCAACCAAGUUGUCUACAAGAGAGUAUUACCAAGAAACUGAACGGAUCUUCAAUUUUCUUCACAGUCUUCCAAAGUAUCCUUGAAAUCACCUAGACUAGAGUAGGCAAUUCUCAACACACGAGAUAGAUACAUAGAGAAGAAGAUAAAAGAACAAAGAGGCUUAGAAAAUUAUUUGUGUUUAGAGAGAAUCUAAAAACUAUCAGAAAACCAGUGUCUGUCAUCUCUUGACUUAUGUUUUCAACUCUCUCUUAGCAUUCCUUAUAUAGAUUUAAUUAGGUCAUUUAAUUUAAUUAAAAAAUUAAUAAAAUAAUAGUCAAUAAUCAGCCUUAGGUCGAAAUUAUCAUGGGCUUUAGGCCCGUGAAAUUUCCCAUUUGAUUAUAAGCUUGCUGGACUUAAA